GCCUGCAGCUAGCUCUCGGCAACUCUGAUAUGGUUGCCCACUGAAGCUAAGCAGGGCUGCGCCUGGUCAGUUACCUGUAUGGGAGACCACAUAGAAAAGCUAGGUUGCUGCCGGUG
rnacentral:rRNA from 1 species